rnacentral:rRNA from 1 species
AGAGUUUGAUCCUGGCUCAGGACGAACGCUGGCGGCGUGCCUAAUACAUGCAAGUAGAACGCUGAAGAGAGGAGCUUGCUCUUCUUGGAUGAGUUGCGAACGGGUGAGUAACGCGUAGGUAACCUGCCUUGUAGCGGGGGAUAACUAUUGGAAACGAUAGCUAAUACCGCAUAACAAUAGGUGACACAUGUCAUUUAUUUGAAAGGGGCAAUUGCUCCACUACAAGAUGGACCUGCGUUGUAUUAGCUAGUAGGUGAGGUAACGGCUCACCUAGGCGACGAUACAUAGCCGACCUGAGAGGGUGAUCGGCCACACUGGGACUGAGACACGGCCCAGACUCCUACGGGAGGCAGCAGUAGGGAAUCUUCGGCAAUGGGGGCAACCCUGACCGAGCAACGCCGCGUGAGUGAAGAAGGUUUUCGGAUCGUAAAGCUCUGUUGUAAGUCAAGAACGAGUGUGAGAGUGGAAAGUUCACACUGUGACGGUAGCUUACCAGAAAGGGACGGCUAACUACGUGCCAGCAGCCGCGGUAAUACGUAGGUCCCGAGCGUUGUCCGGAUUUAUUGGGCGUAAAGCGAGCGCAGGCGGUUUCUUAAGUCUGAUGUGAAAGCCCCCGGCUCAACCGGGGAGGGUCAUUGGAAACUGGGAGACUUGAGUGCAGAAGAGGAGAGUGGAAUUCCAUGUGUAGCGGUGAAAUGCGUAGAUAUAUGGAGGAACACCGGUGGCGAAAGCGGCUCUCUGGUCUGUAACUGACGCUGAGGCUCGAAAGCGUGGGGAGCGAACAGGAUUAGAUACCCUGGUAGUCCACGCCGUAAACGAUGAGUGAAAUAUUGCCCCAGUCGGUUUCCCGCGCCGCCAUCACCGCCGCCUAUCGCCGCC